rnacentral:lncRNA from 1 species
GGCAUGAACAAAAGAGGAGACCAUUCUCCUCUUGGGUGAGAGACCUAGUACUGUUUUAGAUUUUUGGGUGAGGAAAAAAUCAAAGAAAAGUGAGUCUUCAUUUAAAUUUUAUCCACCAUCUAGCAUCCUUCUCUGAUCUAUCUUCAACAUCAAAAAGGUUCGAGGUGAUCGAAGAAGGAGAUCAAGUCAGAUCUGCCAUCAG